rnacentral:lncRNA from 10 species
AGGCGAUGCGCAGGAGUGGGGAGGCGCGCAGGAGUGGGGAGCCAAGCCGGCGGGGUUCCAGUCUAGCAGGCUGUUCUCACUUGGCCCCACUCCCUCCACCUUUUGUGUUCCAGCUCCAUAAUCUGCUCCCUGAGGAAAGGGGGCUCGUCCCUUGGGGAAGCACCUCCAACUCCCCCAUCCCCAUUUGGUGGCAUUCUAAGCAAGCAACGGCUUCGGGAGAGCUGCCUCGAGAGCCUGAGAGAAGUCCCGCUUAGAAGCUGGGCUGGGCAGGGAAAGGGUGAGGAAAGGCUCUCUGGGCAAACAGUUCCAGGACUGCCACAACACACUGUGCUCUUUCAUCAUGGCAUGGCCAGUCCCUCACAUGAGAUGUCAAUAGGCCUGGAGCACGAGGAGACUCCAAUGAGAACGUCACAAGGGUAAUCCAGUUCUGCCCCUACUUUCUUGGCCUUACCAGCUCAGCAUGAGACCUCCAAGGAGACGUGAACUCCCUCUGGCUGCACGGGCCUGGGCAUACCUUCUCACUCUUCUGAAGCUGAAGGGCUCACCCCAUUGCCUCCCCAAGAAGCAGGUCUCUCCAGACAAACCAUCUUUCUCCUACUUGGCAAUACCCAAGGAGCAGACCAUAUUUGUUCAGGCAAUGAAUUUUCUGGCAAACUCUAUUUGAUUUACAUGCAAAACUUCACAUCUCAAACAAACAAACAAAAAACCCAGUCAUGUCUGGACGCUGCUGGUUUUUUCCAGCUGAACAAGACCUGGAUUUUGUUGGUUAUAGAUGUAAUUCCAGAGGGAGGAAAGAUGAAAACCCAUGCCAGGGACAGGUCCAGAUGGCAGGAGUUUUCUCUUUGCUUUGGCUUCCCUGGGCAUAGCCCACUCUUGCCAGGGAUCUACGAUCACCUGUAAUCUACCUUCCCGAGGAGCAGUGAUGGAUUGCUGGGGGCUGCCUCACCUCAUGGCAGGCAAAUGGAAGAAAGCUGUUCUCGCCUUAGGAAAGAAAGAUUUAACUAAUGUACCCACCUUCUUACAGUAAAUAUCUCUGUCUUAAAAAAAAUUUUAAUUGUGGUAAAAUACACAUAAAAUUUAUAAUCUUAACCAUUUUUCAGUAUACAAUUCAGUAGUGUUAAGGCUAUUCAUGGUAUUGUAUGACCCAUCUCCAGAAUGUUUCUGUCUUGCAAAACUGAAACUCUGUUUCCAUUAAACAACUCCCUGUGAAUAUGUGUGUCUGUGUGUGUCUGGCUAUAUAUUUGUGAGUGUAUAUGUCUGUCUGCAUGUGACUGUGCACACAUCUGUGUGAG